UCUUAUGGAUGAGCAAAGAAAGUGAUUUCUUGAGAUGGAGUCUACUUCUGGUAUAGAUGCUGUGAA
rnacentral:pre_miRNA from 1 species